rnacentral:rRNA from 1 species
UACAGAGGGGGCAAGCGUUGUUCGGAAUUACUGGGCGUAAAGGGCGCGUAGGCGGCCUGCUAAGUCGAACGUGAAAUCCCUGGGCUCAACCCAGGAACUGCGUCCGAUACUGGUUGGCUUGAAUCCGGGAGAGGGAUGCGGAAUUCCAGGUGUAGCGGUGAAAUGCGUAGAUAUCUGGAGGAACACCGGUGGCGAAGGCGGCAUCCUGGACCGGCAUUGACGCUGAGGCGCGAAAGCCAGGGGAGCAAAGCGGG